GAUGAACGCUGGCGGCGUGCUUAACACAUGCGAGUCGAACGGAAAGGCCCAAGCUUGCUUGGGUACUCGAGUGGCGAACGGGUGAGUAACACGUGGGUGAUCUGCCCUGCACUUCGGGAUAAGCCUGGGAAACUGGGUCUAAUACUGGAUAGGACCACUUCUUGGAUGUUGUGGUGGAAAGUUUUUUCGGUGUGGGAUGAGCUCGCGGCCUAUCAGCUUGUUGGUGGGGUAAUGGCCUACCAAGGCGUCGACGGGUAGCCGGCCUGAGAGGGUGUACGGCCACAUUGGGACUGAGAUACGGCCCAGACUCCUACGGGAGGCAGCAGUGGGGAAUAUUGCACAAUGGGCGCAAGCCUGAUGCAGCGACGCCGCGUGGGGGAUGACGGCCUUCGGGUUGUAAACUCCUUUCGCUAGGGACGAAGCGUUUUGUGACGGUACCUGGAGAAGAAGCACCGGCUAACUACGUG
rnacentral:rRNA from 1 species